rnacentral:precursor_RNA from 10 species
GAAAUGCAAACACCUGGCCACGAGUUGGAAUGAAACUUCGCUGGAACAGGCCGGGUGACCCGAGCUGUUCACGAAGUUUUAAACCAACCUGGCCACAAACAUAUUGCUUAUAU